CCACCUAAUGGCCCUAGGCGACACACUGAGCAGCUCUGUGGAAUCAGUUUAUGGAUCUUCAGUACCUGUGGGUGCAGGAGGUUGGCACUGAAGCACACAGGAGACCUGCAGCUCCUGUAGUGAUACCUAUGGAAAGCAGCUUGCUCCACCCAUUCCUCUUCAGCUAUUUAUGAUAAGUGUUGAAAAGCACUACUUAUGGAUACUUUAGAAGGAAAGCUUUUAAGCAUCCUGGAGGUCACUUGAGAAGAAACCCAUCUUUCAGUGGGUCGUCAUCUUCUACUGUAAAGCUUGCUGUACCUGUGUAAUGGGCUUGUCCCGAUACCUCCACUAUAACAGCUUUGAAAUCACCACAUUUUGCUUCCUGUGAAAAGAAGAUGAAAAGAACAAAAUAUUGCACACAUGUUGUAUCUGACGUACACGUUAUGCUCUUGACUGUUCAUGCUAAGAAAAACCCAAGGGUUAAUUCUACAGGCAAGGGAAAUGACAGGAUUUUAAGGAGAGUAACAUAGCCAAAUUUGUGUUUUAGAUAAAUUUAGCUGUAAAGUGUGAGACACACUGGAGUAGGGAAAAAAUACUAGCAGCCCAGAAACUUGUUAGAGAGAAAACAUUGAUUCACUGAGUAAACCUGGAGUCACUAGGGAGUUUUCAGUGAAGGUGGAGGCGAAUGUAUUACAGAGAGACUUGGCCUGUUGACCAAUGAAUGUAGUAAGUAAAGAAUUAGGAAUGAGUUAAAUAUGACCAUAAGCUUGGAAGCAUUGAUGGUGAUGCCAUCUUAACCAUGAUGGGAAAUAUGAGGGGCAGCACGUGGGAAACAGGAAGGGAAGAAGGAAAGAAGGAAGGGAGGGGAGGGAGCGAUGGAGAGAGAGGGAGAGGGAGGAGGGAGGGA
rnacentral:lncRNA from 1 species